ACCCAUCCCCAGGUUUCUUCAGCGAAGCAGUUCCAUUUGAAAAGGAAUUAGAGCUCUGAAUUUGGGAAGAUGGUCGGCAGUUCUCGUAAAUGGGCUUAUAUUCGGAUCAUCACCGGCACCGUUGUCGGCGGCGUUCUUGGCUUCUAUGUAAUGCACCGCGUUGAAGUUGGCUAUAAGGAGAAGAUGAAAGAGAGGUUAAAACAAUAUGAGAACGAACUCAAAAAGAAAGAGCAAAUGAAAGAACUUGAAGACUCGCUAUAGUGUGAGUGGAUCGUACACUUUUCCUAUUUGGGUGUUCUGAUUAUACAGAGCCAAAGUUGAAGUUCGAGGGUUUUCUGCAUUGGCUUUAGAAAUUGACCUCAUAAGAACACUCCAAUCAUUCCAUAUCAAUUAGGGCACUGGAGUACAGAACUGGAUUUGGGAAUAAAUUAGUGUAGGCUGAAAAGAAAAGAAUUGGGUUGCAAUUUUGUUUCUCUUUUCUACAAUUUAUCACUGAUUAACAGCAUGUGUGUUUUGUUAUGUGAUUAGUUUAUGAUUUAUUCCUUUGGUUAAUGGAAAGCCCUUUAAGUUAACUGUCUUUGUGCUUAUGUGAUUUUUUAUUUUGUAUAUAGAUGUGAACUCCAAUUCUUGUAUGAGAGCACUAUGAUUAGGAUAAUUUAUUCGGUGGGGGAUUCAACGCAGUAUGGCUAACAAUUUUUCACCGUUUAAUGUGGAGAGGAAGAACUGAGAAGUGCUUUAUAUUUAUAUUUGGUGCUUAUUAGAUAGCAUGCGUAUUAUUGAAUAAUUUCUCUUAGUGGUUAGAUUUCAUCACAGGCUUUAGCUUAUAGAACCUAUGGAUAGGCUUUUGAGAAAGAAGUCUAUGCUUGCUACCUCGGCCUUUUUGUGUAUGCGAGGAAGACCUGGAUCACCUUUUCUAGUGUUGUUAGUUUGUGAAACCCAUGUGGAAAUAUUUAUUUCGAGCUCAAUCUCGAGUUAGCUCACUAAAGGGAUGUUCGCAAGACAAUCGAAGAGUUUCCUUUUCGUCCAUCUCUCAAAGAGAGACUGCUUUUUAUGGUUUGUUGUGGUGUGUACUUUAUUGUAGGAUACGUAGGAGAAGAGGAACAACCAAGUGUUUAGAGGGGUGGAGAGAAACUCAAGUAAACUUUUGGUCCUCGCUGGAAAAAGAAAACGAGGUAGAUGACCCAACAAGCCAUGGUCAUGAAUGUGAUGGCCUUUAUCUUGUUUCAGGAAAGGAUUAUCUAUGUAUAAAGGAACAGAUUUGACCGUUGAUGGUUCAUAAAAUUCUUCAGUUCUUCUCAAGGAAAAGAUGGUGUUCCUAUGGUUCUUAUUUGUUCCCCAUCAUCUUAAUCAAUGAUUAAGAUUGUUCUUCUACGUAUUAUUUAAUUUUUGUGUGAGAAGCAGAGAUCUAUACACUAACAGAUCUAUGUUCAAGUGGGUUUGGUGCAUCAGUGUAGAGUUUCAACUUCACAGUAA